rnacentral:piRNA from 1 species
UUGGUGGCCAUAAAACAAAAUACACUCA